GCCCAGCUGGCUCAGUCAGUAGAGCAUGUAACUCUUAAUCUCAGGGCUGUGAGUUCAAGUCCCACAUUCGGCA
rnacentral:tRNA from 1 species